UGCCCGGAAUAGGUCAGCUGUGGUAGCCAAAAUGGCGGGUUGAUAAUUUCAAUUACAUAUAGCAAAGGCUUUUAGUUAACCCCUCCAGUUCCCUCGUGAGAGGAAAAUACCCAUUGUUUUCUGGAGUAAGGAUUGAAGUACCACGAUGGAACCUCACUAAAAUCAACCCGCCUUUUGGGGAAAUUAUACACUACAACAUGGGAAGUCAUAGACCCUCACCCACCUGAGAGGAACCUGUUCCGGCUCCAGUCAGUCAACCUGGGAGCAAGCUGGAGAGUUCCAGCUUCGUUUUCUUUUUCACACCUGGACCUAAAGAUGGUACAGUUUUGCACCACCAUGGUGCUCAUUUUCCGGUAUGCGGCAGCAACCUUUUGAGAAGUCAGAUGGGAUUGUUUGGGAACAGUGAGUUUUGUGAUAGAAACUUUCUGUAUAUGGUGUUUCAUAUCACAGACAUUUGGUUAGUGAAUUAUGGUUAUUAAUUAUUUCUCUUUUAGAUUUAGCUUGUAUUUAUUGGGUUUUAAUAUACAUAUGUUUAGUAAGUUCCCAAACUUACGUAUAAUCCUGCGGUAUUGUACGUUGAGCUCGGCGUGUCUGCCAAAAUGUAUUACUUUUUAUAUUUUAUUGUUUAUUUAGGUCGAUUCAUGUCAUUAUAUAAAUUUAUGUUGCA